AGCAAGGAGAGGACUGGGUGAAUGUAAGAUACAGGAAGAGGAACAAAUAGGAAGACAUCUCCUCUACUUCAUGCCUGAUCCAGCCCAGCCCAGCCUCUUCAGCCAUGUAGGAAGCUGCGUAUAAUAUCGCAAGGGGUGGCCCUUGCCCUGGUGAUGUCAACAGCAGCUCUGGCUCUCAGGGAGGGUCAGAGCCACCUCUCAGGGACCAGGGGCAGAGCCACCUCUCAGGGACCAGGCAGACCCACCUCUCAGGGACCAGGGGCUCUCGGAGCUCCCACCUUCAAACCCAGAGAUCAGAGUCUGGGACAGACUGCCUUCUCUGGCCCUGCCAUGGGUCCCAGGCUUCUCCACUGUGUGGCCCUCUGUCUCCUGGGAGCAGGUCACCUGGGUGCCACAGUCACCCAGAGCCCAAGAUACCAGAUUACCAGGAUGGGGGAGCCAGUGACCUUGACUUGUUCUCAGGACCUGAAUCAUGAUGUCAUGUACUGGUACCAACAGAAGCUGAGCCAAGGCCCAAAGUUGCUGCUCUACUACUAUGAUCAGAACCUUAACAAAGAAACAGACACCUCGGACAACUUCCAACCCAGCCGGACUAACACAUCCUUCUGUUCGCUGGGCAUCCGUUCGCCAGGCUUGGGGGACUCUGCUGUGUACCUCUGUGCAACCAGCAGAGACACAGAGUGAGAGGGCUGCCUCCCCUCCACUCACAAACCUGCUCCGGG